rfam:Aedes albopictus isolate Foshan contig39965, whole genome shotgun sequence.
UGAUGACUAAACUCCUAUCCCUACCUCCACGCGGUACCGGCCGGAAACUAUGAGCAACCUUAGGGAAGAUCGGGUAACCAACCCCGGUGGGAACUUUGGUCGUAGGCUGACAGGGAAGG